rnacentral:rRNA from 1 species
AGCAGCCGCGGUAAUUCCAGCUCCAAUAGCGUAUAUUAAAGUUGUUGCAGUUAAAAAGCCCGUAGUUGAAUUUCGGGGUUAGCAAGUUGGUCGUGCCUUUGGUAUGCACUGGCUUUGCUGAUUCCUCCUUCUUGAAGAACUGUGAUGCUAUUAAUUUGGUGUUGCAGGGAAACAGGACUGUUACUUUGAAAAAUUAGAGUGUUUAAAGCAGGCUAACGCUUGAAUACAUUAGCAUGGAAUAAUGAAAUAGGACGUUUGAUCCUAUUUUGUUGGUUUCUAGGAUUGACGUAAUGAUUAAUAGGGAUAGUUGGGGGCAUUAGUAUUCAAUUGUCAGAGGUGAAAUUCUUGGAUUUAUUGAAGACUAACUACUGCGAAAGCAUUUGCCA